CGGAGGAUCCAAGCGUUAUCCGGAAUCAUUGGGUUUAAAGGGUCCGUAGGCGGUUUGAUAAGUCAGUGGUGAAAGCCCAUCGCUCAACGAUGGAACGGCCAUUGAUACUGUCAGACUUGAAUUAUUGGGAAGUAACUAGAAUAUGUAGUGUAGCGGUGAAAUGCUUAGAUAUUACAUGGAAUACCAAUUGCGAAGGCAGGUUACUAUCAAUAUAUUGACGCUGAUGGACGAAAGCGUGGGGAGCGAACAGGAUUAGAUACCCUGGUAGUCCACGCCGUAAACGAUGGAUACUAGCUGUUGGGCGCAAGUUCAGUGGCUAAGCGAAAGUGAUAAGUAUCCCACCUGGGGAUACGUUCGCAAGAAUG
rnacentral:rRNA from 1 species